rnacentral:rRNA from 1 species
UGGAUAAGACAUGCAAGUCGAACGAUCAUUACCCGGUAGCAAUAUUGGGUAGUGGGAGUGGCGCAAGGGUGCGUAACACGUGGGUAAUUUGCCGCGAAGUUGGGGAUAACUCGCUGAAAGGCGAGCUAAUACCGAAUGUGACUGCCGGGGGGCAUCCUCUGGUUUUCAAAGUUGGGGACCGUAAGGCCUGACGCUUCACGAUAAGCCCGCGGCCUAUCAGCUAGUUGGUGAGGUAACGGCUCACCAAGGCUAAGACGGGUAGCUGGUCUGAGAGGACGACCAGCCUCACUGGAACUGAGACACGGUCCAGACACCUACGGGUGGCAGCAGUCGAGAAUUUUUCUCAAUGGGGGAAACCCUGAAGGAGCGACGCCGCGUGGGGGAUGAAUGGCUUCGGCCCGUAAACCCC